UGGACUGAUUAUUAUAUUCAACUGUAUUCACAACGUGAAAUAGGGGAUUACACUGUUUUAAAACGAAAAGUGAAUCAAUAAACAUAAUACACUCCU
rfam:Nicotiana attenuata strain TT chromosome 1, whole genome shotgun sequence.